rnacentral:pre_miRNA from 1 species
GUAAUACUCCCUCCGUCCCAUAUUAAGUGACUUUCUAUUACAUGUAUCUAGACGCUUUUUAGGCAUAGAUACAUUCAUAUCUGGACAAAUUUGAGUCACUUAAUAUGGGACGGAGGUAGUACAUG